rnacentral:misc_RNA from 1 species
UCCGAGUUGUCCCCGGCAGCCUCCGUAGAGUCCCCGCCAUGACGCGCUGGCAACUGCGGAUAAGGGUUGCGCUCGUUGCGGGACUUAACCCAACAUCUCACGACACGAGCUGACGACAGCCAUGCAGCACCUGUCCUGGUGUCCCGAAGGGCUGCCGUAUUUCUACGGCAUUCCAGUGCAUGUCAAGCCCAGGUAAGGUUCUUCGCGUUGCGUCGAAUUAAACCACAUGCUCCACCGCUUGUGCGGGCCCCCGUCAAUUCCUUUGAGUUUCAGCCUUGCGGCCGUACUCCCCAGGCGGGGCACUUAAUGCGUUAGCGCCGGCACCCAGGGGGUCGCUCCCCCAGGCACCUAGUGCCCAUCGUUUACGGCGUGGACUAC